rnacentral:rRNA from 1 species
AAACCAACAGGGAUUGCCUUAGUAGCGGCGAGUGAAGCGGCAAUAGCUCAAAUUUGAAAUCUGGCGCCUUCGGUGUCCGAGUUGUAAUUUGAAGAAGGUAUCUUUGGUUUUGGCUCUUGUCUAUGUUCCUUGGAACAGGACGUCACAGAGGGUGAGAAUCCCGUGCGAUGAGAUGCCCAAUUCCAUGUAAAGUUCCUUCGACGAGUCGAGUUGUUUGGGAAUGCAGCUCUAAGUGGGUGGUAAAUUCCAUCUAAAGCUAAAUAUUGGCGAGAGACCGAUAGCGAACAAGUACUGUGAAGGAAAGAUGAAAAGAACUUUGAAAAGAGAGUGAAAAAGUACGUGAAAUUGUUGAAAGGGAAGGGCUUGAGAUCAGACUUGAUAUUUUCCCGUCUCGGGAGCUUAUCGGGCCAGCAUCAGUUUGGAUAGCAGGAUAAUUGCGUAGGAAAGUAGCUCUGCUUCGGUAGUGUGUUAUAGCCUGCGUCGAUACUGCUUGUCUAGACUGAGGACUGCGUCUUUGACUAGGAUGCUGGCAUAAUGAUCUUAAGCCGC